rnacentral:rRNA from 2 species
GCAAGUCGAGCGAAUCUGAGGGAGCUUGCUCCCGAGAUUAGCGGCGGACGGGUGAGUAACACGUGGGUAACCUGCCUGUAAGAUUGGGAUAACUCCGGGAAACCGGAGCUAAUACCGGAUAACAUUUUGAACCGCAUGGUUCGGGAUUGAAAGACGGCUUCUGCUGUCCCUUUCCGAAGGGCCCCCGGCGCAUUAACCUAUUGGGGGAGGAACGGCUCCCCCAGGGAACCAAGCCUAACCCAACUGGAAAGGUGAACCGGCCCACUGGGACUGAAACCCCGGCCCAAAUCCUACCGGAAGGAACCAUAAGGAAUCCUCCCCCAUGGAACAAAGUCCGAACGAACCACCCCCCCUGGACCAAGAAAGGCCUCCGGUCCUAAAGGUCCGGUGGUAAGGAAGAACCAGUACCAAAAUAACUGGUGGUAACUUGGCCGGACCUAACCCAAAAGCCACCGGUUACUACCUGGCCACAACCGCCGUAAUACCUAAGUUGCAAGCGUUGUCCGGAAUUAUUGGGCGUAAAGCGCGCGCAAGCCGGUUCCUUAGUCUGAUGUGGAAGCCCACCGCUCCACCGUGGAAGGUCAAUGGAAACUUGGGAACCUGAAUGCCAAAGAAGAAAGUUGAAUUCCACCUGGUAACGGUGAAAUGCUUAAGAUGUUGAAGAACAACCAGUUGCCGAAGCCGACUCUCUGUUCUGUACCUGACGCUGAGCGGCGAAAGCGUGGGGAGCGAACAGAAUAAAUACCCUGGUAAUCACGCCGUAAACGAUGAUUGCUAAUGGUAAAGGGUUCUCGCCUUUAAUGCUGCAGCAACGCAUUAUCACUUCCGCUUGGGAGUUAGGGCGGCAGACUUGAACUUCAAGGAAUGAUUGGGGGCCGCCCCAGCCGCGGAGCAUGCGGCUAAAUUCAAAUCAACCCCUAAGAACUUACCCGGGCCUGGCAUCCUUCCCUACUCUAAAAUAAAGAGGGUCGCGCCCGUUC